AAGGACUGGUGGAGUGCUUAGAAGUGAGAAUGCCGGUAUGAGUAGCGAAAGACGGGUGAGAAUCCCGUCCACCGAAUGCCUAAGGUUUCCUGAGGAAGGCUCGUCCGCUCAGGGUUAGUCAGGACCUAAGCCGAGGCCGACAGGCGUAGGCGAUGGACAACAGGUUGAUAUUCCUGUACCACCUCUUUAUCGUUUGAGCAAUGGAGGGACGCAGAAGGAUAGAAGAAGCGUGCGAUUGGUUGUGCACGUCCAAGCAGUUAGGCUGAUAAGUAGGCAAAUCCGCUUAUCGUGAAGGCUGAGCUGUGAUGGGGAAGCUCCUUAUGGAGCGAAGUCUUUGAUUCCCCGCUGCCAAGAAAAGCUUCUAGCGAGAUAAAAGGUGCCUGUACCGCAAACCGACACAGGUAGGCGAGGAGAGAAUCCUAAGGUGUGCGAGAGAACUCUGGUUAAGGAACUCGGCAAAAUGACCCCGUAACUUCGGGAGAAGGGGUGCUUUCUUAACGGAAAGCCGCAGUGAAUAGGCCCAAGCGACUGUUUAGCAAAAACACAGCUCUCUGCGAAGCCGUAAGGCGAAGUAUAGGGGGUGACACCUGCCCGGUGCUGGAAGGUUAAGGAGAGGGGUUAGCGUAAGCGAAGCUCUGAACUGAAGCCCCAGUAAACGGCGGCCGUAACUAUAACGGUCCUAAGGUAGCGAAAUUCCUUGUCGGGUAAGUUCCGACCCGCACGAAAGGUGUAACGAUUUGGGCACUGUCUCAACCAGAGACUCGGUGAAAUUAUAGUACCUGUGAAGAUGCAGGUUACCCGCGACAGGACGGAAAGACCCCGUGGAGCUUUACUGUAGCCUGAUAUUGAAUUUUGGUACAGUUUGUACAGGAUAGGCGGGAGCCAUUGAAACCGGAGCGCUAGCUUCGGUGGAGGCGCUGGUGGGAUACCGCCCUGACUGUAUUGAAAUUCUAACCUACGGGUCUUAUCGACCCGGGAGACAGUGUCAGGUGGGCAGUUUGACUGGGGCGGUCGCCUCCUAAAGUGUAACGGAGGCGCCCAAAGGUUCCCUCAGAAUGGUUGGAAAUCAUUCGUAGAGUGCAAAGGCAUAAGGGAGCUUGACUGCGAGACCUACAAGUCGAGCAGGGACGAAAGUCGGGCUUAGUGAUCCGGUGGUUCCGCAUGGAAGGGCCAUCGCUCAACGGAUAAAAGCUACCCCGGGGAUAACAGGCUUAUCUCCCCCAAGAGUCCACAUCGACGGGGAGGUUUGGCACCUCGAUGUCGGCUCAUCGCAUCCUGGGGCUGUAGUCGGUCCCAAGGGUUGGGCUGUUCGCCCAUUAAAGCGGUACGCGAGCUGGGUUCAGAACGUCGUGAGACAGUUCGGUCCCUAUCCGUCGUGGGCGUAGGAAAUUUGAGAGGAGCUGUCCUUAGUACGAGAGGACCGGGAUGGACGCACCGCUGGUGUACCAGUUGUUCUGCCAAGGGCAUAGCUGGGUAGCUAUGUGCGGAAGGGAUAAGUGCUGAAAGCAUCUAAGCAUGAAGCCCCCCUCAAGAUGAGAUUUCCCAUAGCGUAAGCUAGUAAGAUCCCUGAAAGAUGAUCAGGUUGAUAGGUUCGAGGUGGAAGCAUGGUGACAUGUGGAGCUGACGAAUACUAAUAGAUCGAGGACUUAACCAUAUAA
rnacentral:rRNA from 4 species